AUUGGGGACUACGUUUGUACUACUUUUUUGGGUGGUGAAGUUCUCAAAAUUCUCUGUUUUGAAGAAAUGGCAAGCGGUCCUCCUCCGUCGUCGUUGAAGGCAAACACGGCAGCAGGAGACCCCAAAUUCGAUCUCGUGAAGCAGAUUCGCAGCCACGAGGUUGCAAUUGCAGAGCUCAAUGCUCUUUCAUCGUCCCGGACAGUGUAUCAGAAGAAUGGGAACUUAUUUUCCGUACAACAAUCCAGAGAGCAUCGGCAUCUGAACAGAAACAACUAGAUUUGACUAAAGCAAGCCUUGAAAAGUUGAAUUCUUCUUGAUACGGCUUGGUCUACAUUGAUGCGUUGGCAGCUUUCUAAGGAUAAAGAACAGGUGCAUUUCUUAUUGCAUGGAAUUGUGCUGUUUGGGAGUCGAGGAGACAUUUUCCUUUU